rnacentral:lncRNA from 1 species
AAUUAUUUUUAUAAUAAAUUUUAUUUUUUUAAUAUUUUUAUUAUAGUUUUAUAACUCUAAUUAUUAAUUAAAUAAAAGUUAUAUAAAAAUAAUUUAAUACUUAAAUCUAUUUAAAUAAAAUUUAUUAAAAUUAGUAUAUGUGCAAAGUAAAUUUAUACAACAAUUUAUUUUAUAAAGAUUUAUAUGAAAAGGAUUUGAGAUAAAUCUAUCAAAAUAAUUUUCAAUAAAUAGAAGAAAAGUAAAAUUGUAAAAGAAAUUGUUUAAUAAAAAAUAAUUACAUAUAUACACAACUAUACAUUAUAUUUUUAAAACUUUACUCCUGGAAUGUAAAUUCUGUAUUUUUUUAUACAACGAUAUUUUACGUGAUUUAAAUUGCAUCUAUUAGGUUAGAUUUUAUUACGUGAUUUAUUACGCGUAUUAUUUAUACAACGAUAUUCAUUCAUUUGAUACAACGGAUUCCAAAGGUACCAUCUUCACUAGCGUUUAACAGUUACACCUGGUACCUAUCUCGAGUUCCAAGAAUUGUCAUAUAUUAAUAGAAUUCUCGAUUAUCAGCUCAAUUUCAAAAGUCAAAACUCUUUAAGAUAUUGCAUUUUCAGUGCAAUUCUAUUCCAAAAUGAAAUCCAUUUCCUAUUUUCUCAAAUAGGUUGAGGCUAAAACCCAACUUGUCCCGUCUUGGUCCUAUAACUGGAGCGUAAUCAUUCCUUAACAGGCUUCAUAGGU